CGGGUAGUAGAUGGCCAUCAGCUUUAACCAGUUAGCCAUUGGCCACUGGUAUAACUGCCGUGGCUGAGCUAGCAAGUGUGGAUUGCAGUUAGCAAGUGAGGCGGUUAGCAGAGAAGCAGUUGGUGGAUUACGGACAGUGUGGCUCCUGCUUCCUGUGUCUCCAACCCAGCCACCAGCGAGACUAUAGUGGAUUCCUUAGCUCCUUUUCUGGACUUAGAAGCCUAAAGGGAAGAAGGUAUCAUGAUAUGAACUUGGGACCCAGCAGUCAAACAAGCCUGGAUUCAAAUCCUGACUGUCGAGUUCUUCCAGUGUCAUCUUGAGCAAAUGAGUCAAAUUCUAUGAGCCCUAUCCACAAACUUUUGCCUUUAAAGGUAGGUCCUUGGGGCCAGUGGUGCUGGUGUGUCCCCAGAUGGCUGAAGUGAGGCUGCAGGAGGGGGAGAUAAGCUCUGUGUUCCAGAGGACGGAGCCCUGGACCCGUGCCCACCCUGCUACUUACUGUGUGACUUUCGGCAAGUUUAUUCCUCUAUCUGAACCCUCUGUAAAAGGAAGGCCCAG